GUCCUAGCCGUAAACGGUGCACGUUUGCUGUAAAGGAAUCGACCCCUUUGUGGCGAAGCUAACGCGUUAAACGUGCCGCCUGGGAAGUACGGUCGCAAGAUUAAACUCAAAGAAAUUGACGGGGCCUGCACAAGCGGUGGAGUAUGUGGCUUAAUUCGAUGCAACGCGAAGAACCUUACCUGGCCUUGACAUGUAUCUAGUAGAAGGGUGAAAGCCUGACGAGGUAGCAAUACCAGGAUACACAGGUGCUGCAUGGCUGUCGU
rnacentral:rRNA from 1 species